rnacentral:rRNA from 1 species
AUUGAACGCUGGCGGCAGGCCUAACACAUGCAAGUCGAGCGGAAGAAGGGAGCUUGCUCCUGGAUUCAGCGGCGGACGGGUGAGUAAUGCCUAGGAAUCUGCCUGGUAGUGGGGGAUAACGUCCGGAAACGGGCGCUAAUACCGCAUACGUCCUGAGGGAGAAAGUGGGGGAUCUUCGGACCUCACGCUAUCAGAUGAGCCUAGGUCGGAUUAGCUAGUUGGUGGGGUAAAGGCCUACCAAGGCGACGAUCCGUAACUGGUCUGAGAGGAUGAUCAGUCACACUGGAACUGAGACACGGUCCAGACUCCUACGGGAGGCAGCAGUGGGGAAUAUUGGACAAUGGGCGAAAGCCUGAUCCAGCCAUGCCGCGUGUGUGAAGAAGGUCUUCGGAUUGUAAAGCACUUUUAGUUGGGAGGAAGGGCAGUAAGUUAAUACCUUGCUGUUUUGACGUUACCAACAGAAUAAGCACCGGCUAACUUCGUG